UAGGGAAUCUUCCGCAAUGGGCGAAAGCCUGACGGAGCAACGCCGCGUGAGUGAUGAAGGUCUUCGGAUCGUAAAACUCUGUUAUUAGGGAAGAACAAAUGUGUAAGUAACUAUGCACGUCUUGACGGUACCUAAUCAGAAAGCCACGGCUAACUACGUGCCAGCAGCCGCGGUAAUACGUAGGUGGCAAGCGUUAUCCGGAAUUAUUGGGCGUAAAGCGCGCGUAGGCGGUUUUUUAAGUCUGAUGUGAAAGCCCACGGCUCAACCGUGGAGGGUCAUUGGAAACUGGAAAACUUGAGUGCAGAAGAGGAAAGGGGAAUGCCAUGUGUAGCGGUGAAAUGCGCAGAGAUAUGGAGGAACACCAGUGGCGAAGGCGACUUUCUGGUCUGUAACUGACGCUGAUGUGCGAAGGCGUGGGGAUCAAACAGG
rnacentral:rRNA from 1 species